CCGGAUGCGCGUACCUGCAAUCAGAAGGAGAGCUCGGUGUCCGGUGCUCGGGGAGUGGUUCGCGUGUCUUCACCCGUUUAAAAGUCGCCAGGAACUAUUCGCGAUCAAUCAGUAGAGACUGUAAAAGUCACCGGCUCGGCCCGAUCCACUUCCCAAACACGCUUCUAGUCAGAAACAACAGCGUUCAAGGAAAGCAAUUCGUUUCGUCGGCAUGUUGCGGAUCCGUGGCCAUUUCCAGCCUUCACAGCCAAAGAUGUUGGAUCAGAUGUAGGUAGCCUACAUACACAGCAGUUGCUUUCCAGAUGAAGCGAUCUUUAACAGACAUCUUGAAGAUGUGCGCGUGCUAUCUGGGACAGGGACACGCAUUAUUGGAGUAAUCCUUCCAUCUAGUGGUGACCAAAAGAGUCACAAGAAUUGUCUUGUAACUAUGUUUCCGGAAGAGAGAAAACAUGUAAAGCAACUUGAGGAUUCGAAGGCAGUGUGUGGGCAGCUGGACUCCUUCUAUCUCCGGAGUAACUGAAGGUUGAACAUGUUUUUACUUGUGUUCACUUCCCAGUUUGCUCAAUUCAUUGUUGGACUGCUCCUUUAUUCACUGAUCCAAGAUUCCUGCCAUGAAAACAAACAAAGCAAUAUUCCUACUUUUAUUAAAUCCUUAGCCAUGAAUUCUAAAGAUGAAAGAAUCCUGCAGGAACCGAGUAUGAUCCAGAUAAAGGGAAAGAGAGACAACAGGAGCAUGUUGAUGUCAAAUUAGCCAGUGUGUUAUUUGCUUGGUUUGUUCAUUUUAUUUAGUCCUCGGAAACAGAAUGAGUUUACUCAGAAGUUACUAUUGCACAGAUUUGUUACUUUAUGUCUGUUACCUUGACAUCAUCGCUGUUUUUGUUGUGUUCAAUGCCUAAUCAUCCACCUGUUAUUACAGACAGAAAGAGAAGCUGGUCACUGAUCUCACCCUUUCACUCAACCUUUGAUCCCAGCCAUGAGUCAUACACACAGUCAUGUGAGAGAUAUAUAUUAGAGAACGCAGCUACUGUUUGUCACAAACGGAGGCUCUUUCUAAUAAAAAAAUACAACAACAUCUAAUUAAUGAUAAAGUUUUGAUUUAAAAAUACAAAAUGUUUGAUUUAUGCUGUGGUUUUGUCAAAUUUGUCAAAUGCUAAACUUUUUAAAAUUAGAACGGUUAGGAAUAUAUUUUGUGGGUUCUGACUUUCAAUAAAAUUCCAGUAUCAUAAUUUAUUUAUUUUUGUAUUUAUUUGUUUAUAAUGUCUCUUGGGUAAAACUGUGAACACAAUAAAAACAACUUUAAGACAAUGUU